GAAGCUUUACUGUAUCUUGGAAUUGGGUUUGGGCUUUGCUUGCGCAGGAUAGGUGGGAGGCUUUGAAGAUAUUCUUGCGGGAAUAUUGGAGCCAAUGGUGAGAUACCACUCUAGUAAGGUUAAAAUUCUAACUUCGAACCGUUAUCCGGUUGGGGGACAGUUUCAGGUGGGCAGUUUGACUGGGGCGGUCUCCUCCCAAAAGGUAACGGAGGAGUUCAAAGGUUCCCUCAGGCUGGUCGGACAUCAGUCGUAGAGUGCAAAGGCAUAAGGGAGCUUGACUGCGAGACCUACAAGUCGAGCAGAGACGAAAGUCGGCCUUAGUGAUCCGACGGUUCCGAAUGGAANGGCCGUCGCUCAACGGAUAAAAGUUACUCUAGG
rnacentral:rRNA from 1 species